AGACAGGUCAUCACCAGAGAGACUAGUGUCUCUUUAACUCUGAAGCAUCAUUUCUGAGAUACCUGGCACCAUCUCUCAUUAUCCAUGUUACAUGUGGCUUCCUGUUUGAUGUUUUUGGUUAUCUCAACAUAUUUUCCAUAACCCGGAACAUUUGCUGAGACUUCAACCUUUAUGCACUUCAAAACCAAUGACACAGCUAACUUUGGCAAUGGACUGCUGGGAUUGUUUGGGAAUACGGGUGGGGGAGGGGAGCGGGGGGAAGCUAAGGAAUCCCAUGACUGAAGUCCUACAGAACAGACUUGGAGAGAAUUGCUCUCCAAUGCUGAAAAGAGAAUAUCUAACUUCCUCAAACCUUGAGGAAUACAUGAGGAGACAAGGUAGAGAGAGAAAAAGAGAAAGAACCUAGGGUACAUGCCUUAUCAGGAAGUGAGGAAGUACUGUGGGGUUCUCAGGUAAGGUCAUAUAGGUCAAUUCAAACCAAAAAGGGCAGGAUUUUACAAGUUCCAUGGGGUUCUUAUCUGAGAAGGGGGGCAGACUGUUGACCACAGGGCUGGGGGGAAGGCAUAUCAGGAAUCCUCCUUUGCUUAUGACUCUGGGCUGCUGUAUAGGGCAUGUGUUUGCAUGGGAGCAUGGGAGGCAGGGCUAGUGUCAGUUAAAGAUCCCUGCAAGACACUUGGCCAAAUAAAUGGACGCUGGGCAGCAAUACUAGGUAGUAUCUUAGCUAAACUCUUUUCAACGACACAUAAAAAAAUAUAUUCUUUUUGUAGGAAAGUAACAGCAGUUGAAUUCAACUAAAUAUUAACUUAUCCCUUUUGUACAAUUUGGUGAAAUGCUUGGAAUUUCAAGCAUUUGAAAUGCUUGGAAUCCAUACUGAGGCUUGGAAUUCUUAAUUCUCUUUAUAAAUUUGUCUGUGAAAUCCCAGAUGGUUGUGAACCAGUCACUGGUUGUUUUGGUUACUUUUUAUCAUCUAUGAAAUGAAGAGUUUUGAUCAGAUUUUGUAUGAGAUUCUAGUAUUCUACAUUUAGGGACUUUGAUUAGUCCUAAAUACUUGAGGAAUCUCAAUCAUAGGGUAAGUGAAGUGAAGGCAGAAAGUUACUAAUUAUUAUAGAAAGAUACUUGAUAGAUAUAAAUAGGUGAUGAUAGAUGAUAGAUUUCAUAAGUAGGUUAGUAUUUUUCUUAGGUGAUUUUGAGUUUUCUUUUUAUUUGGAGAGCCUGUAACUCAACCACAUAAUGAAGCAGAAAAAAUGUUGCGCUUGAUGAAUUUAAACAAUCUAUCAUGAAAUAACAAUGGUCAUCCAACCUCAACUUCAGAAGCUUAAUUUUAGAAUCCCACAUAGAUGCUGCUAUUCAUACAAAAAGAGUAUGCUCUCAAGAAUUGUUUCUAAGAUGAUAUCUAUAAUCUAAAAAAAUUUAGCCAGGACUAAGAUAUAUUAAGACCUUUCUUUUUUUAAAAAAUUAAUUGUUUUAGAAGAAUGUGUAUUCAGUUGAGUUUGGAUGUAAAGUUCUGUAGAUAGCUGUGAAAUCCAUCUGGUCCAGUGUAUCAUUUAAAGCUCUCGUUUCUUUGGAGAUGUUGUGCUUAGAAAGACCUAUCGAGUAUAGAAAGAGCUAGAUUGAAGUCACCAAGUAUAAGUGUAUUAUUAUCUAAGUAUUGUUUUAUUGGUGUUCAAUUUGCCAACACACAGAACAACACCCAGUGCUCAUCCCGUCAAGUGCCCCCCUCAGUGCCCGUCACCCAUUCACCCCCACCCCCAGCCCUCCUCCCCCUCCACCACCCCUAGUUCGUUUCCCAGAGUUAGGAGUCUUUAUGUUCUGUCUCCCUUUCUGAUAUUUCCUACCCAUUUCUUUUCUAAUUAUAUUUCAUUUUUUCUAGAAACAUAUUUA
rnacentral:lncRNA from 1 species